AAGGUACCGUCAGCCCAGACAAGUCCGGGGGUUUCUUCCCUUAUAAAAGCAGUUUACAACCCAUAGGGCAUUCAUCCUGCACGCGGGAUGGCUGGAUCAGGCUUCCGCCCAUUGUCCAAUAUUCCUU
rnacentral:rRNA from 1 species